UGGGGAAUUUUGGACAAUGGGGGAAACCCUGAUCCAGCCAUCCCGCGUGUGCGAUGAAGGCCUUCGGGUUGUAAAGCACUUUUGGCAGGAAAGAAACGUCGCGGGUUAAUACCCCGCGAAACUGACGGUACCUGCAGAAUAAGCACCGGCUAACUACGUGCCAGCAGCCGCGGUAAUACGUAGGGUGCAAGCGUUAAUCGGAAUUACUGGGCGUAAAGCGUGCGCAGGCGGUUCGGAAAGAAAGAUGUGAAAUCCCAGAGCUUAACUUUGGAACUGCAUUUUUAACUACCGGGCUAGAGUGUGUCAGAGGGAGGCGGAAUUCCGCGUGUAGCAGUGAAAUGCGUAGAUAUGCGGAGGAACACCGAUGGCGAAGGCAGCCUCCUGGGAUAACACUGACGCUCAUGCACGAAAGCGUGGGGAGCAAACAGGAUUAGAUACCCUGGUAGUCCACGCCCUAAACGAUGUCAACUAGCUGUUGGGGCCUUCGGGCCUUGGUAGCGCAGCUAACGCGUGAAGUUGACCGCCUGGGGAGUACGGUCGCAAGAUUAAAACUCAAAGG
rnacentral:rRNA from 1 species